GCCAGAUAAACCCUAAAGAAGAAGACGCACGCACGAGUUCAGCGCCACGAUCUUUCAACCACACAUUGCUUUUGCUUUCCAAUCAGGGCUAAGUCUUUUCUCAGGAACUCAAGAAACUUUCUUAAGGCCGACUUACAACCCAUGACUGCCGUCAGGCUGAACUAAGCCUGACAGGUUGGGAAAGACAUCUGAAACCUGAAUUGUCUUGACAUCAGAAAAAUGAGUGAACUGAUCAGAUCACUGAAACUGCGGUGAGGGUGCUACAAAUACCCUGACACACCGGUGCGAGGAGAAUCAUCUCAUCCUCAAAGAGAAGAUGACAGAAGACGAGACAGCAGUGGUGGUCUUCAGGGGACACACCACCACCAACUCCAUGACAGUGGAGGGAGUCAGCCACUUCAGAUUCCCUGACGUUUACAUAAAAACCUCACAUGGGUGAGGGUGAAAAAGGCCCAGCAAUGACUCCUCUCUUUAUUUUAGAGAUAACUGAUGAAGUAUGGAAUAAGCUCUGCAAUCAUUAGACAGACCUCAGCAUAUACUCACAACUCCACUGAGCAAAAAUAGUUAUAGUUUAAUAAUGUAAUAUCAUAUAUUCAAAUCAAGUCAAAAGUUUACUUCACCUUUGCAGAACCUGGAAAAUGCAGAACAUUUGGGAAAAAUAAGAGGUAUUUUGAAAGAUUUAUUUUUAACUCUUUCCUGCCCUGCACAACUUAUUUUGCAAAAGAAAUGUUAACCCAAAGUUCACUUCACACCAAAGAAUAAUAAAAGAAAUACAUUACUACAUGAAACAUAAGAUUCACAAACAAAACAAUAUGUACAUCAAAAAACAUUUUCAGAGGUUUACACCCACCUGACUUUAAAUGAAUGGUGUUGACUUCUUGAACAUCACUGACGGUUUCUUUCGGUUGUAAUAUUUGUGUAUGAUCGUCCUCAAUGUAAAAAGAUGAAUCUCAACAACGUACAGUUACUGUUGGACAUAAGUCAAAUAUACAGAAAUAAUGAAAACGUUUUUUUUAUAAUACUAAAUUCAAACUUUACUUCUGAAUUGUCUGGAACGCAGAAUAAGUUGAGUUAGAUUCGGGUUACAGCUUCACUCUGCAGGACUGUGACCCUCCAGGGCUGAGUUGGACACAUUUAGUCAUUUAGGAGACGCUUUUAUCUAAAGUGACUAACAGAGAAAAAAGCAGGAAAUGAAGCUAUAUGUCAUGCAUGUGCAAUAAUACAGUAAAUUUUUUCCACAAAAGCCAGAUUUUUUGUUUUUAUGUAUUUAUUUCGUUGUAAAGUAUUGUCCUGGUGUAUACCAUUAUGAAUGCUUCAUGCGGUCAAUAAAAUGUAUAUUAAAUAUAUUUAUAACUAUU